AACGGGAUCCAUUAGCGCUUUUGUGUUUUUGGUGAGAGUGGCGAACGGGUGAGUAACACGUGAGUAACCUGCCCUUUUCUUUGGGAUAAGCCUGGGAAACUGGGUCUAAUACUGGAUGUUCCGGCUUCCUCGCAUGGGGUUGUUGGGAAAGGUUUUUUCUGGAUUGGGAUGGGCUCGCGGCUUAUCAGCUUGUUGGUGGGGUGAUGGCUUACCAAGGCUUUGACGGGUAGCCGGCCUGAGAGGGUGGUCGGUCACACUGGGACUGAGAUACGGCCCAGACUCCUACGGGAGGCAGCAGUGGGGGAUAUUGCACAAUGGACGAAAGUCUGAUGCAGCGACGUCGUGUGGGGGAUGAAGGCCUUCGGGUUGUAAACUCCUUUC
rnacentral:rRNA from 1 species